GAUUUUCUCUCUAUUCAUUGCCCCAAAUGGAUUUCCCUUCUUUUAUUUUUGUAGAAUUUUCUUAUCUAGAUUAGAAAAGGAGAAAGAACCAUUGGUUGAAUUACACAAAAACAGAGGGAUGAUAAUCCAGUAAGAAUUUCUUGUUACCAUUUCAUGCUGCAAAUUCCUCAAUGUGGUCCAGGUGGGUCCGCCUGUGAUCGAUCCUUGUGGAUUGCAUGUGGCCUCAACACCCUCUUGAUUGGAUAAUCUUUGAUUAAGGGCCUAAGAAAUUGAAGAAAUAUUAGAAAUAGUGGCCAUUCUGUGAGCCCUUAGUUGGGUGGCUGUGAUCGUUUGAUUGGUUUGAUUUUAGUCCAUAAGAAAUCCAAGGUUGGUCCGCCGUAUCCAAAUGUGGUCACAGGUGGGAAGAAUUAAUACUGGAAUUUCCUCUUUUGUGGUGUAGAUUCCUCAAUGUGGCCCAGGUGGGCAUGCCUAUGAUCGAUCACCAAUGACCGUCGAAUAGGAGAGGUCCGCUGCAGAUUCGGCAUGGCCCUAAAAUCUCUUUGAUUGGAUGGUCUGAUCUGAUUAAGGACCUAAGAAAUCAUGAUAGGACUAGAACGAACUUACAAUCGAUUUUGCCAGCCCUUAGUUGGGUGGUUACUAUCAUUACAACAGGGUGAUUUGGGUUCAUGUGCAAUCCAAGGUGGGCACCACAUAUCUGAUGGUGGCCACAGGUGGGAAGAGUGCUUACAGGAUUUUCUUAUCACUCUUCUGUGGUGUUAAUUUUUCGAUGUGGCCAAGUGGGUAGCUUAUCAUCGAUCAUCGAUGGCCAUUGAAUAGGAGGGGUCCACUGAAGAUGUACAUGGCCCCAAGAUUGCCCCUAUCAGGGGAUUUCUGAUUAAGGGCAAAUGAAAUUAUGUAAGCCUAGACAUGAACUUAAUCCAUUUGCAAGCUCUUAGUUGGAUGGCUAUAAUGGUUCAAUCAGGGUGGCAACCCCUGGUGGGAAGAAUUCUUUCUGGAAAUAAAUUUAAGUGUUUAUGGUGUAAAUACUUCAAUGUGACCAAAGCGGGCCAGCCAAUGAUCAAUCACCAAUGAUCGUUGAAUAGGAGGGGCACACUGCCUAUUUCUCAUGACCUAAAGUCAUCCCGAUGGGCCUGAUUAAGGGCCUAUAGAAUUAUGUAAGACUAGAAAUGAACUGACUGUCCGCAAAGCAAGGCCUUAAUUAGAUGGCUGUAAUCAUCUGGUGAGGAUGAUUUGGUCCAUGUGCAAUCCAGGGUGGGCCUCACAUAUCCAAUGGUGAUCACAGGCGACAAGAGUUUCUUACUAGAUCAUCCCCUUCCCCGGUCCAUGUGCAAGCUCAGUGUGAUGUUUUAAUGACAUCCAAUCCAUAUAUCAUUUUUGCCCACUAUUUUUCUCUUUGGUGCCCAAAAAUCAGGCCAAUCCAGAACUCAGGUGGACCACACCACAGUGAAUAAUUGGGGUGGGGAUGCCCACCAUUAAAAACCUUCUAGAUUGUAUGUUGGGCUGUUUUGUAUACUCCAUCCAAUCCAUUCAAAGGAUGCAUCUGACAGGGAUCAGUAGACACCCAAAAAGAGCAGGCCAUUCCAAUACUCAGGUGGGCCCCAACAUGUGAUUUUAGAGUUUUUAGACAUGAUUUUACAUGCCGUGGCCCACCUGAUUUGGGAUCAAUCUGAUUUUUGGGAUCCAAGGAGAAUAGGAGAGGGCACACAUGAUGGAUGGGUGGAUGUCAGUAAAACAUCACGGGCCUCACACGUCAAUUUCUACAUUAAAGCUUAACAUAGAAAAGUUUGCAUUGGAUCCGGCCUCUUCAGGAAAAGGAAUAUAUCCUUGAAAUUUUCAUGGGAAGCAAUUAAUCUACCUGACCAGCUUUCAUGGUAAUUAUUCAAACUGAUUUUUGUUGAAAAUUUUUAUUUCUAGGAAAAAUCUUCUUUUUUUGUGGAAAAAAAUGCGUAUUUAGAAAUAGAAUGUAAUAGAAAGAUUACUAUUACUAUUACUAUUACUAUUGCCAUUACUACUACUACUACUAUUAUUACUAUUGUUUGUAAAUUCUAUUGUUAGCAAAUUUCAGAUUUAUGGUUUGAUAGAUGACAUGAUCAGCACCACACAUUGUGAAAAACCAUCAUGGGUUAAUUCGUAGGGCUAGAUGCGUAUGUGGGUCAGCUGUGGGUUUCUUAUCUUUGAAUCCAGACCAUCAACAUCACGUGCCCUGUCGUUGACGGAGCAUAUGCCGAAAACUGCACUGAUCCGAUGAUCGUACCUAUGAUUUGGUUUUGAUCCAGUGCUGUUUUAACCAUCCCUUUGUUUUCUAAGUAUUGGUCGUUGAGGAUCGUCCGACUAGCUUGAUUCUAGUCUAUGAUUCUUAACGGUUUGGAUUGAGACAGAUCACCAUCAUUCAUUAUUAUGUGCCAAACACACAAUGCCCGUGAAUAAUAAUAACUGUUGAUGAUGGAAGGUUCUACCUACUUUCUUUGACUCUUUAUGAGGUGGCGUGAUGAAGUGGGGUCCACCUGCUAUUAUCACCGUCCAAUUUUUUAGAAUCAGGACAGUUCUGGUUCUUAUUUUUUAUAUUAUUCCUAAUGAUCCCUGUCUUCCUUUGAUUGUUAUUAUAAUGAAAACAGUGCGUGUGGGAUCUGGGCCAUCCAUUAGGUGGGGUCCACCUUGACAAUGACAUGCCCCAGAAAUCUGUCCAGCCCAAUUACCAUGGAUAUGUGACUAAGGGGCAGUUAGAAAAGAAAGGGACAGAUCGUGAUAUUCAACAUAGGCAUGCGGUGCACAUGGUAUGAGUUGGCAGCUGGCAGGACUUUUGUUA